AUGUAGCCCCGAUUGUAGUGGAAAUCCUGGCAUUGCGUGCGAGCAAGUUCAACGGAUUGCUUCGUUCCUCGCAAUGACAGAUUGGAACGGAAAGCGGGACUUAAA
rnacentral:sRNA from 1 species